rnacentral:sRNA from 1 species
UAUGUUUUCGACAAAAAGACGUACAGAAGAAAUAGAACAAAAGACGUCAAGAGAAGAGAAGAUUGGAAAAGUGAACCGACCGGUUAUGUAAUUGAAACGGUCGGUAUGUGUUGGAGCUGGAUUCCCCUUUAGGAAUCCACCUGCGAAAAUACCAAGCUAGCCCACAAAAGCCCACCAAGCCCACCAAGUAGAGGACCUACGCAGCUGACGAGCCCACAUACGCGAAUGGGCACUUGGGCCAGAUAAGCCCAGUCACCUGAUGAAGGGAGAUAAGCGAAUAAUGACCUAGGAACUGAUGAGGAGAUAUUCGCGGAGCGGACCUGAUAUCUCGGAACUGACCUGCCGAAUAUCCAGGAGGAUCUCCGCAGAUCCCGGACGGAGCUACCACGUGCGUAGACCCAUAUAAGGGAGCGAGGACGACUUGGAAGACACAUUCAAUCUAGCUUACAUUCAUACACACACUUUUACACUUGUAAUCUCUUUUCACAUUGUAAAAGCUUUGUCAUAAUUAAUACAAAAGUCCAUUCGUUCUUAGCAAUAUAACUCUCAAGGUUUCAGUGAAGAUCUAGCCCUCCUUUCUCAUAAUCUUAAAUACAAAUCUCUAGUGUGGAUUUCAGAACCCACAGUAUGUAUGGCCGCAAACCAAUCGGUUAAGUCUUAUAAUCGAUCGGUUAUGUUUUGUA